GCAUCUUCUCCCCUGAGGGCAAGUUCAAGACCAAGAUUGGAGCUGGCCGCCUCAUGGGCCCCAAGGGAGUGGCCGUAGACCGGAAUGGACAUAUCAUUGUGGUCGACAACAAGUCUUGCUGCGUCUUUACCUUCCAGCCCAAUGGCAAACUGGUUGGCCGUUUUGGGGGCCGUGGGGCCACUGACCGCCACUUUGCAGGGCCCCAUUUUGUGGCUGUGAACAACAAGAAUGAGAUUGUAGUAACGGACUUCCAUAACCAUUCAGUGAAGGUCAGUGUCCUCCCUCCCUCCGUGACCACUGUCCCAACAUCCUUAACUCUUCCACAAGACUCCUCUCUAUUUUACCUCCUCCUUCUCCCCCUUGAGAUCAUUCGCUCAAAUGAUACACAUUUACACAUUUAUGGCAUGGCUGCUUUGUCCCAGGCAGUAUGCUAGAAGCUGGAGAUACAGUGAUGCACAAAGCAAAUGUAUUCUAUGUCUUCUUGAUUAUUGUCUAGUAGGGAAGAGAAAAAGGUAACCAAAAAAUUACAAUAUGAUGUACUAGCUGUGAUAGGAAGGUGCAGGGAACUGUGGGAAGGGCUACAGAAGUGUAUGAUUCAGGAAAGACUAUGUGAGGAGGACCUCAAGCACAAGUGGGAAUUAAAUGGAAG
rnacentral:sRNA from 1 species